rnacentral:lncRNA from 1 species
AUUCUUUUCUAUUAGCUAUUUUUUUCAAUUUUUUUCUAAUUUCAAAGUGCAUAUAUUUCCACCUUGAGUAUCCUAUGAGACAUUUCAAAUCCUGGUGGAAAUGACUGCCUUUAGGAGACACAAGGAAAGCACUGAGUAAUCUACACAGAAAGUAGUUCUGAAAUUGUUGGUGGAGCUAUACAUAAGUGGUCAGACUUAAAAAUUGUGUACUUUAAUACAUAAAUACUUAUGUUUUAAGAUAAACAUAUCUUGUGUAUCUACAUAUUCACAAAUGAUUAAGAAACUUUAAAUUCUGCACCAGAGCAUAUCUACUGUCAUUAAAAUGGAGUCACAGCCAGGCACGGUGGCUCAUGCCUGUAAUCCCAGCACUUUAGGAGGCCGAGGUGGGUGGAUCAUUUGAGGUCAGGAGUUCGAGACCAGCCUGGCCAAUAUAGUGAAACCCGUUGUCUAUUAAAAAUACAAAAAUUAGCCAGGCAGUAGUGGUGCGCACCUGUAAUGCCAGCUACUCAGGAGGCCGAGGCAGGAGAAUUGCUUGAACCUGGGAGGCAGAGGUUGCAGUUAGCUGAAAUCGUGCCACUACACUCCAGUCUGGGUGAGACAGUGAGACCCUGUCUCAAAAAACAAAACAAAACAAACAACAAAACUGGAGUCACAUAUGUGACUGUUGAUUGAGAUCAGUCUUGGGGUGUAUCUGUGUAAGAUGCACCACUGAGAGAAAUCCUGGGUGUUUAGAAUUAGUCACCUAAAGCAAGCAAGAAAGAGAACAUCCAGAUAAAGAAACCCUUCCACAAAGACAAGAGAGAAUUCUAAAGCCACUCUGAAGUGUCAGGCCUCUGAGCCUAAGCCUGCAUCCAGAUGGCCUGAAGCAACUGAAGAAUGACAAAAGAAGUGAAAAUGGCCGGUUCCUGCCUUAACUGAUGGCAUUACCUUGUGAAAUUCCUUCUCCUGGCCCAGAAGCUCCCCAAAUGAGCACCUUGUGACCCCUGCCCCUGCCUGCAAGAGAACAACCCCCUUUGACUGCAAUUUUCCACUGCUUACCCAAAUCCUGUAAAACUGCCCCACCCCUAAACUCUCUUUGCUGACUCUCUUUUCAGACUUAGCCCGCCUGCACCCAGGUGAUUAAAAAGCUUUAUUGCUCACACAAAGCCUGUUUGGCGGUCUCUUCACACAGACGCACGUGACAUGAAGGAGUAAGAUGGAUCCUUAUCCACAAUUUGGUUUGGAUGGCAAGCCUGGUGAUAGCACACAUACAUCAAAAGGGGUUGACAUUCUUCCUAAUAGGGGGAAAUCAUAGCUGAAAGUGUAAAUCAAAUCAUUGAAAAUACAUUCAAUACAUAGCCAUAUUUUGAAAUUAUAUCAAUUACCAUAUUGAUGGGUUUGAGAGGUGACAACGUGCUAGCAGCCCUCGCUUGCUCUUGGCGCCUCCUCGGCCUCGGCCUCUGCUCUGGCUGCGCUCCAGGAGCCCUUCAGCCCGCCCUACGCUAUGAGGGCCCCUCUCUGGGGCUGGCCAAGGCCAGAGCCCGCUCCCUCUGCUCUUGGGGAAGUGUGAAGAGAGAGGCGCAGGCACGGCACUCGCGGGCUGGCACCGGUUCCAGGUGAGCGCCAGCUCGGCAAGCCCUGCAACUGGCGCGGCUGGCCAGCGCCUGCUGGGCUUGAUCGGAGGCUGAAUCCCGUGAGUGGACUGCCCUUCCCUCUUCGCGGGAUCGUUGGCCACCAUAGCAGGUCUGCAUCUCUUUCUCGCUUCCCCUCUUUUCCUCUUGAUUGUCUGGGACAAGCUCCCUCUGGGCUGCUGGAGUGCCUCGGCAAGACCCCUGCCCAGUGCUAGUGAGAGGUGAAGCUGGCUGGGCUUCUGGGUGGGGUCAGGACUUGGAGAACUUUUCUGUCUAGCUAAAAGAUUGUAAAUGCACCAAUCAGCACUCUGUGUCUAGCUAAAGGUUUGUAAACACACCAAUCAACACUCUGUAAAAAUGCACCAAUCAGCACUCUCUGUCUAGCUAAAGGUUUGUAAAUGCACUAAUCAGAGCUCUGUGUCUAGCUAAUUGGGUAGGGACUUGGAGAACUUUUCUGUCUAGCCAAAGGUUUAUAUAUGCACCAAUCAGCACUCUGUGUCUAGCUCAUUGGGUGUGGACUUGGAGAACUUUUGUGCCAUUCUAAACGUUUGUAAACGCACCAAUCAGCACUCUGUCAAAACGGACCAAUCAGCUCUCCGUAAAAUGGACCAAUCGGCUCUUUGUAAAAUGGACCAAUCAGCAGAAUGUGGGUGGAGCCAGAUAAGGGAAUACAAGCAGGACACCCAACCCAGCAGCAAUAACGUGCUCAGGUCUCCUUCCACUGUGUGGAAACUUUGUUCUUUCCCUCUUCAUGCAUGAAAUCUUGCUGUUCCUCACUCUUUGGGUCUGUGCCACCUUUAAGAUUUGUAACACUCACCAUGAAGGUCUGCAGCUUCACUCCUGAAGCCAGCAAAAGACCACGAACUCAGCGGGGGGAACAAACAACUCUGGAUGCGCUGCCUUUAAGAGCUGUUAACACUGACUGCGAAGGUCUGCGAGACCACGAACCUACCAGAAGGAAAAAACUCCGGACACCUCGGAACAUCAGAAGGAACGAACUCCGGACACACCAUCUUUAAGAACUGUAAAAUCACUGCGAGGGUCUGCGGCUUCAUUCUUGAAGUCAGCGAGACCAAAAACCCACCAAUUCUGGACACAGCUUUAAAUUGAUAAAGAAAAAUUUUUAUUAGUAUUACAUUAGUUGUCAUUCUAAGUAAUUGCCAAUAUCAGACACAUAAUUGUAAUUCAUCUUUUAUUGUCAUUGCAACAUUCGAUGUACUUAAAUUUAAAAUAAUUAAUGUUUAUUGUUCCAGGAAAAAGUCUGUUGGGUUUUAUAGUGCCACAAAUUAUGUGAUGUUAUAUCUAAGUAUUUUGAAUAAUAGCUAUUUUACAUGAAAGUAAAUAACAUAAAUGAGUUUUUGGCUAGAAAAUAAUUUUCUUAUAUCUUUGAAAAGAUUAUCUUCUUUUUUACAUUUCUAUUAUAUAGGGAACUAGAAAUAUAUGAGUUAUUUUAAAAGCUUUACUUUUUGGACCCAAAUAUGAAUUUAAAUAGAAGACAAAUAUGAAGAUACAUUAAUUUAGGAAAUAUGUGCUCUGCCAAGAAGUUACAUUGAGUUUAAGUUAUUUAAGCCAGCAAAUUGGCUUAACUCCUACAUAAGAGGUAGGUGGAGCCUUUAUCCCCAAGAUGGCUAGAUCUCUAUCAUUUUUUUAUUUAUUUAUUCCCUGAGAUAUAGUAUUUAAAACACUUUAAGAAACAACUUUAAAGUUUCUAUGCCAGAAUAGCUAUUAUAUGUUUUAUUAAUAAAUAGUUCAUUGUUUAUUAGAGGAAUUGAUUCACAAAAUGAAUAAUUUCAUAAGGGUUAGACUUACAAUGAUGAUGAAACUUAGCAGUUACACUAUAGACUGACAUUUUAAUUUUAAUUUUUAUUCUUUUGGCAUAAACCUCCUAUUUAUAGAGAACUAUAGGUACCACAGUUUUCAGAAGUAAUAGUUACAUGAUGGGGCUAGUUGAAAAAUUAAUGAAAAAUACUUUCUUAUUAAAGUUUAUUUUGCUGGUUCUACUAGGCUAUACUGCAAAGUUUCUAACUUUACGGUUAUUUAAAGCCUUGUAAAGGUGUCUAUGAUUACUUUAUUAAUUUUCCUUUCUGUGAUUGAUGAUGUAGCUUUCAUGAGAAUAUAUAUGAAUUAUCAGUGCUGUACUUAUGAUCUAUCAUUAAUUAAAUUAUAAUAUUCUACCACUUCUUGAUACUGAGAAAGAAAAUCUUCUCAGAUUAUAAUAAUAAGAAAAAGUAGAAAACCCAGUGUAGUUAGUAAAGAUUUGCCUUCAAAAGAUUUUUAUUUUCUCAGAAAACCACAAUUAUUCUUUGCAAUUUUCAAGUACUUUCAUAUUCGUUGUAUUAUUUGAUCAUAAUUAAAUCUUAGUGGAGUAGAUGUUGCCAUAAUUAUACCAAUUUUGCUAAUGAGAAAACUGAAACUUAGAUGGGUUAACUAUCUUUUUGAACAUACAGAUUUAAAUAUUCAUCAUUGUAAUGGAUAUUUAUUGAAAACCCACCAUAUUCUGGGCAUGCUCUGAGCACUAAGGAUUAAGAUGUAAACAAACAUAAAGUCCCUGACCUGAUUGAGUUUGCAUUUUAGUAAGAAAGACAAACAGUAACCAAAUGCAUAAAUAAGCGUAUAAUGUCAAGUAUUGGCAAAGAAAGUGAAAAAGAAGGAAUCUGGGAAAGAGAAUAGAGAAUGAUUAUGGGGAGGCUACUAUCUGAGAAAAGAUGAAUAAGAAAAACCUCAUGGAGAAAGUGGAAUGUGAGCAAAGACAUCUAUUAGGUGUGGCAGAAAGCCAUAUAAACAGCUGGGAGAAAAGCAAUCCUGGCAAAAGGAAAAAUAAAAGCAAAAGGUUAUGAAUCAGAAUCAUGUUUAGCAUGUUGUGGAUGGAUCCUGAAGGUCUUAUAAGAUAUAGCAAUGGGUCUAGAGUUUAUUCCAAGUGACCUGGAAAGCCAUUGGAAAAAUUUUAGCAGUGAAAGCGUGCCAUGUUGUUUAUAUUUUUAAAAAUUCACCCUGGUUGAUUGGAAGGAGGCCAAAAUCUAAAUAGCCUGGGUGCUGGCCAGGCGCAGUAGCUCACGCUCCUAAACCCAGCAGUUUGGGACGCCCAGGGGGGUGGAUCAUUUGAGGUCAGGAGUUCAAGACCAGCCUUGCCAACGUGGUGAAACCCCGUCUCUACUAAAAGUACAAAAAUUAGCCACGCAUAGUGGCGCGUGCCUGUAAUCCCAGCUACUGGGGAGGCUGAGGCAGGAGAGCACUUGAACCCAGGAGGUGGAGGUUCCAGUGAUCCCAGAUUAUGCCACUGCACUCCCUCCUGGGCAACACAGUGACACUCUGUCUCGAAAAUAAAUAAAAAUAACAAUAAAAACAUAAGUAGCAUGGGCCCUAACAAAUCAGAAUGGACAACUAUAAACACCUGUUUAUAUAAGUAAAAUCAUGUCUUCAGGGUUUGUUGUACAGAUUAUUUCAUCACUGAGGUAGUAAAACCUAAUACCUAUUAGUUAUUUUUCCCGGUCCUUUCCCUCCUUCUAUCCUCCACCCUCCUGUUGGCCCCUGUUUCUUUUGUUCCCCUCUUUGUGUCCAUGUGUUCUCAUUAUUUAGCUUUUUAAACAUUGUGCUGCUCCGUGAUUUAAAAUUUUCCAUGCAACUUUAGAAAUGAUAUGUGUUUUUUUUAAAAAGGGUCACAUCUGAUAAAUGUAAAUAAAUGAAUAAAACUGCAGAAUAAAAUGUAAAUAAAUUUCAUACUUUUCUUUAAAUCCAAA